CAGCCGCCGCGGUAAUACGGAGGGUGCAAGCGUUAAUCGGAAUUACUGGGCGUAAAGCGCACGCAGGCGGUUUGUUAAGUCAGAUGUGAAAUCCCCGAGCUUAACUUGGGAACUGCAUUUGAAACUGGCAAGCUAGAGUCUUGUAGAGGGGGGUAGAAUUCCAGGUGUAGCGGUGAAAUGCGUAGAGAUCUGGAGGAAUACCGGUGGCGAAGGCGGCCCCCUGGACAAAGACUGACGCUCAGGUGCGAAAGCGUGGGGAGCAAACAGGAUUAGAUACCCGCGUAGUCCCUGUCUCUUAUAA
rnacentral:rRNA from 1 species